GAUGAACGCUGGCGGCGUGCUUGAUACAUGCAAGUCGAACGGAGAGUGUAGCAAUAUACUUUUAGUGGCGAACGGGUGAGUAACGCGUUGGUGACCUGCCCCGAAGCGAGGGAUAACAGUUCGAAAGAACUGCUAAUACCUCAUGUGAUCACCGGUUUUAGAAUCUGGUGAUUAAAGGUGAAAAUCACUUCGGGAGGGGCCUGCGUCCCAUCAGCUAGUUGGUAAGGUAAUGGCUUACCAAGGCGAUGACGGGUAGGGGACCUGAGAGGGUGGCCCCCCACAAUGGAACUGAAACACGGUCCAUACACCUACGGGUGGCAGCAGUAGGGAAUAUUGCAAAUGGGCGAAAGCCUGAUGUAGCAACGCCGCGUGUGCGAUGAAGGUCUUCGGAUUGUAAAGCACUUUUUGGAGGGAUGAGGAAGGACAGUACCUCCAGAAUAAGCCUCGGCUAACUACGUGCCAGCAGCCGCGGUAAGCUGUAGUCGU
rnacentral:rRNA from 1 species